CCCCCUUUUCCCCCAGCCCCAAAUCCCCUCGAUCCUCUUCUCUUUUUUCGGGUUUUCCCCCUCAUUUCCCUCCUUUCCCGCUAAUUCCCCUCUCCGCUCCGCACGCCCAUCCCGAGUCCCUCCCUGCCCAGCCCGGGGCAGCCGGGCCGGGCUCCGCCGGUGCCGCCGGGGCCGGUCCCGGCCCGGAGCCGCGUCCCGCCGGGGGUGAGGGGCAUCACCCAGCGCCCACUACUCACUGUCUUCCUCUCCUUGCCCGCGGCUUGGGGUCAUGCGGGGCCGACGCAACCCUGGAGCUCCCAAUCCAGACCCCAGCAGAAAGUUCCUACUGCCCUUUGCCCGCUGCCGCGCCGGCGCCUUUAUAGCGCGGGGAGCCCUGUGUCCGUGCAUCCAAGACACGUUGCAGGCGAAGCCUCCUCCAAUCCUGCCCCGGCGACUCGAAAAGCCCUGGCCGGGCUCCAGGCUGAAGAUGUGUCUUUAAUUUUUGCAGCAUGACAGAAAAGAAAAGAAUGUCAUCGG